AGGGUGACUGGGAAAAACAAGUACCCUUUACCCAGGAUUGAUGAAUUCCUGGAAUCAUAAACCUUAUUGUCCAGGAAGGACUUAAGGGAACAGAACAAUCUGUUAGGACUCAUGGUAGAGUGACCAGCCUAAAGAUUGGAACAUGUUCGCUAGGACUUGGCUGGUGCAUCGAGUGGCUUGGAGAUUGGUUGAAUCUACUAAGACUUGAGUACUCAGUAUGUUCCUAGGUACUGAAUUUGAUCUGGUCAUGGAACUAGAGCGUUCUACAUGGACUUGGUGUCUACUACGAACGCAACCUGG
rnacentral:lncRNA from 1 species